rnacentral:rRNA from 1 species
GACGAACGCUGGCGGCGUGCUUAACACAUGCAAGUCGAACGGAAAGGCCCUGCUUUUGUGGGGUGCUCGAGUGGCGAACGGGUGAGUAACACGUGAGUAACCUGCCCUUGACUUUGGGAUAACUUCAGGAAACUGGGGCUAAUACCGGAUAGGAGCUCCUGCUGCAUGGUGGGGGUUGGAAAGUUUCGGCGGUUGGGGAUGGACUCGCGGCUUAUCAGCUUGUUGGUGGGGUAGUGGCUUACCAAGGCUUUGACGGGUAGCCGGCCUGAGAGGGUGACCGGCCACAUUGGGCCUGAGAUACGGCCCAGACUCCUCCGGGAGGCAGCAGUGGGGAAUAUUGCACAAUGGGCGGAAGCCUGAUGCAGCAACGCCGCGUGCGGGAUGACGGCCUUCGGGUUGUAAACCGCUUUCGCCUGUGACGAAGCGUGAGUGACGGUAAUGGGUAAAGAAGCACCGGCUAACUACGUG